CCUAGGCCAAACUUCCCUCCCUGUUCACCCCUCCUCUUAAUUCUCCAGACUUUUUUUAUUCUUGGGAAGUUUUCUGUGCAAACGGAACAUGAUUAAGUCACUGAGAAGGGUGUUAAGGGAAAAUAUCGACCUUUUAGCCACUGACAUCCAGUUCUGUAUUUUGAAAAAAAAAAAAAAAAAAGCCCCUUCGACUUCCUUUGGUGUGUGUGUGUGUGUGUGUGUGCGCGCGCGCUUGCUGGCAUGUUGUAUAUACGAUCAUUUCCUCACUUGUUUAAAUAGUGCAGCUUGUGUUGGCAGUGCUCUCACUCAGCUCCAAAUGGUUUGCAUCAUGCUUAAAGCACCCUCCUUCCUACCCGCCCCCUUCCUUCUUCCCCCAGCCACAAAACUCUGCACUAGGAAAACAGCCAGGGCUUUUUCCCUUCUCUAAGGAGGAGAGUGAUAAAUAGGUGACUAGAGAGAAGCAGACACCAUGUGUUAACUUACAAAAAAAGCUUUUAGGAAUAUGAAGCAUUCCCCGCCGCCUGGUUUCUAUAUUCCUUUCUCUAAGGGCUGUGUUUAACUUGAAUACUUUUUCUUGUCUGUUUAUAGAAAACAAAAUCCAUUCCCUGUUGCACUGGUGGGGACUGUGGAGCUCUAGUCUCUGCUUAACAGUUGGGUCUUCAGCCAGGUAGAGAGUAGGGCAGUCCAGACUACUCUACUUUUCCUAUGUAGCAUUCACUCCGCUGGGGAAGUAGCAGCUACAGACUUGGGAGUAGUAUCCUGUGCUGAAGACAGGAGCACCCUGUGUCUGACUUCUUGCACAGUUCUUAGCACCACAUCUUGCUGGGAGAGAUGCUUUUGGGGAGGAGACCACAAAUCGCUUCUCAGGAGGAAGUCUUUUGACCUAGAUAAAAUGUAUAUUAGGGGACAAAGGUAAGCUUUCACCUUACUCCAAUUAGAAUAGCAAACGGUACAAAAGUAUUAAAUAUAAACAAUAAGUGCUGGAGAGGAUGUGGAGAAAAAGAAACAAACUUUUACAUUGUUGGUGGGACUGUAAAUUAGUACAACCACUAUAGAAAUCAGUAUGGCAGUUUCUCUAAAGACCACCAUAUGACUCAGCUAUACCACUCCUUGGUAUUUAUCCUGAAGAAUUAAAGUCAGCAGGCUAUAGCAAUACAUGCAUACCCAUGUUAAUAGCAGCAGAAUUUACAAUAGUCAAACUACGGCACCAGUCCAGGUGUCAUAGUGAAUGGAUAGAUAAGGACAACGUGGUAUAUAUGCAUAAUGGAGUUUAUUUCAGCCAUAAAGAAGAAUAAAAUUAUGUCAUUUGCAGGGAAAUGAAUGGAACUUUAGAAUAUUAUGUUAAGCAAAAAAAGCCUAACUCAGGAAGUUAGGAGUUGUAUGUUAUUUCUCAUGUAGAAGCUAGAGAGGAAAAAAAGGGGGGGGUGUCAUGAAAAUCAAAUGGAGAUCAAUAGAGUAGAGGAGAUGCGGGGAAGGAAAAGGAGAAAUACUGGGGAAUGAUAUUGGCCAAAUUAUAUUGUUAAGUUUUAUGCAUGUACAAAUAUGUAAUAAAGACUUCUGCCAUGAUGUACAACUGUAGUGUACCAAUAAAAAAAAUAUGAAAAGGAAAAAAACAUACUCAAUGGGCUCAGUAGUACACACCUGUAAUUCCAGCUACUCAGGAGGCUGAGGCAGAAGGAUCAGAAGUUGGAGGCCAGCCUGGGCAACUUAGUGAGACCCUAUCUCAAAAUAAAAAAUAAAAAGGGUUGGAGAUGUAGCUCAGUAGUAAAGUGCCCCUUGGUUCAAUCCCUAGUACUGUCAAAAAUCCUACUUUUUGGAUACAUUAAUGUUUAAUGGAUUUGAGGAAUAUCAUUUUCUUUGGAGGAAUACUCAUUUUAAGCCUUUUCAGCAAAAACUUAAGAGUGAAACUCUGUUCUUCUGGUCUCAGUGGAUAAUAAUGUGCAUGUGUUGCAUGUGGGGCUGAGGAUGGCUAACAAGUUGUUUGUACUCUUUGGAAGAUACUAAGUUAGAAGGGAAACUGGAUAACCAUGGCUUGGGACACAGCAUCCUUGUACUUUUUUUUUUUUUUUUUUUUUUUUGUGUGUGUGUGUGUGAGAGAGAGAGAGAUCACAAAAUGGUCUUGAUUCCACAGGGUGAUUUUAGGAUGGCUGUUGAGUUACCUGUCUUUCAAUGUAGGACAAGGGAAGAGUCCUCACCUGCUUCAGGCUUCCCAUACCCCAUCUUCACCCAUCCAUCAGCAGUCCCAGCUAUAGUGUUAGGUACCAAACAUAGGAUCUGGCUAAAGAACACAACACCCCAGUCCACCCUCAGCCAGUGGGAAUGAUGACCAGAAUGCCCAGGAGGCAGUUGCAGAUCACUGAGACUUCAGGAACUGAAACAAGUACAACAAAUGUAACAUCUCCACAUUCCACUUCACUUUCUAAGCCACAGACCCGGUUUUCCUUCAUUCUUCCCCACCUGUGUAAAUGGUGGCAUUGAUUAUUGACUUGUUCCUGUCAAAAUCUUGGGGUUACUCUUGGCUCUUCUUUUUCUCACACUUCUAUAUCUAAUCCAUCAGCAACUCAUGUCUUCUUUACCUUAUACCUGCAGAUACAACUCUUUCUUACCACUACACCCUAGUUCCAUUCAUAGAAAUACCUUCUAACUGGUUUCUGUGGUUCUCCCUCUUCCUACUCUUGGCUGUUUAUAGCAUAGCAACUAGAAUGAUCUUUUCACACAUAAUAAAUCAUAGCGGUUUUCUUCAGAACUUUCCAAUGGCUGUUCUUUCGUCUUUCAUCCCUCCUUCCUUUCUUCUUUCCUUCUUUCCACUGGUGAUUGAACCAGGGGUGCUUAACCACUGAGUCACAUCCCCAGCCCUUUUUAUUUUAUUUUAUUUUUAAAAAAUUUUGAGAUAGCAUCUUGCUAAGUUGCUUAGGGCUUCCCUAAGUUAUGGAGGCUGGCCUCAAAAUUGCAAUCCUCCUGCCUCAGCCACCCGAUUCCAGUGGCUGUUCUUUCUUGAAAAGUCAAAGUUUUAACAAUAGCCUUUGAUGUCCUCCGUGAUCUGAGUGCACCUUCACCACCUUCUCUGUCUUCAGCUCCUACUGCUCUCCUUGUUCCAAAUAUACUCUGGUCACAUUGACAUCCUUGCUGUAUCUUAAGCAAACCCAGUGCUCAUACCUAAGGGUCUUUGCAAUUACUCCCCUUUUCACCUGGAGUGCUCUGUCCCUAGAUUGUUGUAUGACUCUCUCACUCCUAUAUAAGGUGUUAACUCAUCUUUCUUUUCUUUUUGUUUUGCUUUAAUUUUCUCCAUGGCAAGGAAAAAUAAUCAUCUACCUAUCAUGUGUCAAUCCCUGGGCUAAGUAUGGCAUACCAUAUUUCUUCUCGAUAAACCUGCCAUCUAAGUUUGAGUACCUUCAUUUUAUUAAAACCCUUGUUUGUAUAACUUCAAAACCCAUGUUCUGUCUGAGCAUAAGAGAGCACAAGUGUGAGGCCAGCAUGGGCAACUUAGCAAGAACCCAUCUCAAAGUAAAAAAAAAAAAAAAAAAAAAUUUAACGGCUGGUGAUGUAGCUAUGUCAUAGAGCAUCCCUAGGUUUAAUCCCCAGUACCACAAAAAUGAAAAUAAACCAUGUUCUGCUGGGUAUGGUGGCUCAUGCCUGUAACCCAGCAGCUUCAGGAGGCGGAGGCAGGAAGAUUACAAGUUCAAAGCCAACCUCAGAAAUUUAGGGCGGCCCUAAACAACACAGUGAGACCCUGUUUCUAAAUAAAAUAUAAAAAGGGUUGGGGGUGUGGCUGUAUGGAUAAGCGCCCCUGGGUUCAAUUCCCAGAAUAAUAAUAAUAACAACAACAACAACAAUAAUACUAAUAAAAAUAAGUAAAUAAACCAUGUUCUAAUAAAUGACUAGAUAUCUAGGAUUUACUUCAAAAUAAUUUGGCAGGGUGGGGCAGAUAGACCUAUAAAUGUGGGGGUAAUAAGCUAAACAUUGAUCAUUGUUGAAUCUGAAUAAGGGCUAUAUUGAGUCCAGAACAGUAUUCUAUUUAUUUUUUCUUCAGCAGUAUUGGGGUUUGAACCCAGGGCCUUGCACAUGUCAGGCAAGCACUGUUCUACUGAGCCAUAUCCCCAGCCGAGUCUUCUACUUCUGUAUGUGUGUAAUAUGCUUUAAAAAGAGGAGUAGAUUAUCUAUCUUCUAAAAAAAGAUUUUUUUCAUGGUGCCAGGGACUUCACAUAUGCUAGGCAGCAUCUCUAGUACUGAACUAAAACCUCAGCCCUGGAAUGACUGGGUUUUUUUUUUUUCAGAGGGUAUAGUGCAGGGGGAUAAUGUUGAGGAUUGAACUCAGGGUCUCACACAUGCCAGAGAAGCGCUGUACCACUGUGCUACAUUCUCAGCCCCCUUUUUGGUGGGUGGUGGGUAGUGAGGAUUGAGCUCAGGGGCACUCAACCACUGAACCACAUCCCUAUUUAAAGACAGGGUCUCAAUGAAUUGCCUUGUUUUUUGCUGAGGCUAGCUUUAAACUUGAGAUCCUCCUGCCUCCACCUCUUGAGCUGGAAUUACAGGCUUGCUCCAUCGCGCACAGCUCCCAGCCCUUUUUUUGUUUUAUUUUGAGAUAGGGUUUUGCUAAGUGGCUCAGACUAGCCUCCAAAUUGCAAUCCUCCUGCCUCAGCCUCUUAGGUAGCUGUGUUUAAAGGCGUGUGCCACCAUGUCCAGCAGAAUAACAAUCCUGAAAGCAAAAUAAAUAAAACCGUGUCCAGGCAAAAUAAUUAUAUUCCAGGAAAAAUAAAUAAAACUCUGCCCUUUCUGCCACAAUAUGUUCUUAAGUUCUGGAGAAAGUAAUCGAACCAUAAUAAUAACAAAAUUAUGCUUUUUCAGGCACUGUGCUGAGCUCUUUACAUGCAUUUUUUUUUUUUUCAUUGAAAUACCACCAGCAUUAUAGGUAGAUAUGGGGACAGGAUCGGAAGGAAGGACAUUGUCUUGGGAGAAAGAUGUUGAGUUCAUAUUGUGAUUUUCAAUACCACAAAACCUUAACUGAGCUGGAUGGGAUGGCAUGUGACUGUAGUCCUAGCUACUCAGGAGGCUUGAAACAGGAGGGUCAUAAAGCCCAGGAAUUUAAGACCAACCUGAGCAACAUACUAAGACCUCAUCUAAAAGGAAGGGGAAAAACAAACAAACAUAUACUUAUCAUCUGUAAAAUAUGUGCAUGUGACUGCAUAGCUUAUAGCGCUAUAUCAUAGUAUUUGUUUAGUCCUCAAUCAUUAUUUAUUUUAGGAAAUACAUAUCAUUGUAUGUAUCUUUGUACUGACUUUUUUGUUUUAUGAAUGAUAUCGUCUCAGGCAGCCUCAUACACAAAUCUUUGCCUGUCUCUUAGGGUUUUUUGUUUUGGUUUGUUUUUGCUACCAGGGAUUGAACCUAGGGAUUCAUUCAGGGAUGCUCAACCAGUGAGCCACAUCCUCAGCCUUUUUUUUUUUUAUUUUAACUUUUUGUUUGGUGCUUGCUAAACUGCUUAGGCCCUUUCUAAGUUGUUGAGGCUGGCUUUGAACUUGCUAUUCUCCUGCCUCAGCUUCCUGACCUGCUGGGAUUAUUGGCAUGUGCCACAGAGCCCAGCUGAGUGGAAUUACAAGGUCAGAGGGGGUAGAUACAUUUUGAAGACUUUUCAGGAUAAAAUCAAAUUGUCCUCCAAACAAUAUAUAGCUGUUUAAACCGUGUUUAAAAAAAAAAAAAAGAGGGUAUUUGUUUUCUAACUUCCUUACCAAUGUGGUUUAACUUUUGUAACUUUGCCAGUUAUGGGCAAAAAUAUGGCAUCUCAUUGUUGCACUUUUCAUUUGGUUACGAAUAGUGUUGGUUUUUUAAAAAUAUUUUUUUAUAUGUGAUGCUGAGACUCUAACCCAGUGCUCACACAUGCUAGGCAAGCACUCUACCACUGAGCCACAACCCCAGCCCCUGAUUACUAAUAAUGUUGGUUUUUAAAAAACUACUGUGUUUAUUGGCUCUGUGUACUGGAUUGUAUUUAUUAUAAAUUACCUUGCGUUCUUUGCCCAUUUUACCACUGGAAUACUUAUCUCCCCACCUCCCCCCAUAAAUUGUAAGAGUGUUUAUGAAUGACUUGAACUUUCUCUGGUUACUUUCUACAGGAGAUAUUUUGUUUUUAUACUGAAUGAGAUUAGAAUUUAGAGACAUGUUGAAGAGAGAGUUGUUGAUACUUUAUUAAGUAGGCAAUAAGAAAUGUUCCUUUGUUGCAUCAUGCUGGGUAAGAUCUUUUGUUUGUUUUUACCUCUUUAAGAUAGUUUCUCUUUACCUUCCCCUUCUUAUGAGUCCAUAGGUAUGUAAAGAAAAAUCAUUUCCAGCUAAAUAUUCAGAAACUAUGAACUCUUAUUUCCUUCUCUUUAGCCUAUUUGAGCCAAUGGGCCCUUGCCAGGGAUAGUUAAAAUAAGAAUCAUACAGUGUUUUGAAAAGUCCUUUGAUUUUUUAGCAAGAAAACAUUAUGAAUUCAGGCUUAUUUUUUGCCUUUUCUCCCUUUAGUUAUAAUUAAAAACCUUUGUUUAAUGAUUUGUUUUGCCAGUGGCCCUCACACACUGUCAUUUUAUAUUAAGUUAUUUCUCUCCACCCACCUCUUUGUGGCCCUCUCCUUCCUUCCUUCCUUCCUUCCUUCCUUCCUUCCUUCCUUCCUUCCUUUAUUUUUUAAUAUUUAUUUUUUUAGUUAUAGUUGGACACAAUACCUUUAUUUCACUUAUUUAUUUUUAUGUGGUGCUGAGGAUUGAAACCAGAGCCUCGUGCAUGCAAGGCGAGCGCUCUACCGCUGAGCCACAACCCCAGCACGGCCCUCACUUUUCUUAUGUUCUCUCACCUCUCACCCUAGUAAUUUAUAAAUUUAUAGUAUUAUUAAUUACUACUUUUGUUUAUUCCACUUCUUUCAGAUUAUAUCAGUUUUCGUUUAAUUUAUAAAUCUAAUUAACCAAAUGGGGAACUCAGUUUUUUUUACCGUACUGUGGAUAGGUCAGUGAUUAGGUGUUUUCUUUUAUUCUAGGAUAGUAAUUCUCACAUUUUGCUAUUCAUCAAAAUCUUGUGGAGGGCUUAUUAAAACUCCAGUUUCUGGGGCAGAGAAAACUGCUUCCUACUUCUUUUUUUAAAGUCAACUUACUAUAGGCCAGGCACUGUGGCACACACCUGUAAAACCAAUCACUCAGGAGACUAAGGCAAAAGGAUCUCCAAAUUCAAGGGCAGGCUGGGCGAGAUCCUGUCUCAAAAUUUUUUUAAAAGAGCUGUAAUGCCGGGUGUGGUGGCACACACCUGUAAUCCCAGCUGCUGUGGAGGCUGAGGCAGGAGGAUUGUGAGUUCAAAGUUAGUUUCAGCAAUUUAGGGAGGCUCUAAGCAACCUUGAAAGACCCUGUCUCAAAAUAAAAUAUAAAAAGGGUUGGGGAUGUGGGUUCAAUCCCUGGUACCAAAAAAAUAAAAAAAUAAAAGCUGGGAUGGGCUGGGCUUGUGGCUCAGCGGUAAAGUGCUCGCCUCACACGUGCGAGACACUGGGUUCGAUCCUCAGCAGCACAUACAAAAAUAAACAAGUGAAAUAAAGGUGUGUGUCUAACUACAACUAAAAAAUAAAUAUUUAAAAAAAAAAGAACUGAGAUGUAGGUCAGUGGUGAAGCACUUGUCUAGCAUGUGUGAGGCCUUGAGUUCAAUAUUUAGUACUGCAAAAAAUAAACAAAACCUCACCAAUUUCUGUGCCCUAGCCUGAGAGUUGCUGAUUUGGGGGAGGAGGAGAGACUGAAAAUUGCAUUUCUAAUAAGUUCACACCUCAUGCUAAAUGGUCUGGAUUCCACACCAUUAAGAAUCUCUACUUUUAGGAACUUGGUGGAUGCUGAAGUUGUAACAAUUAGGCGAAGAUUGUUGUGCCCAUGAAAAUAAAGACCUCAGGUAUAAGUAGUUUUUCUAAUACUAUCUGUAACUUUAGAAUUAUAAUCAUAUUACCUGAGAGUUCACAUGCUUUACCUCCAUUUUGCCAGACAGCUUUUCUGAGCUCUUCAGAAAAAAAAAAAAUUUACAUUCAGAAUGCUAUGAAUAUAUCUUUCCUGAAUAUAUAUGAAGAGUCGCAUGUCUGGAUGGUCUCCUUUCCUAGAAGACUCUGAACUAUAUAAAUGACACUUGGUGUCCUUAUGUGUUUGGCACUAUGUGAUAAGCUUUACAUUAUUUCAUUUAAAUUUCACAAAAGCCCUGUGGGAAUUUUUGCUAUAGGAAAGAACUUACCCAGGAUGACACAGCUAAGAAUGAUAGAAUCAAAUCCAGGCAAUCUAAGUCUAGAGCACACACUCUUAAUAUAUAUAAAUACAGUAGUAGAGUGAUUGAACAAACAUAUUAACUCAGUAUUUACAGUUCUUCUCUUGCCUUUGAUAGUUUUAUUUUCACUGGAAGCUUGAGUUUUCACCAGCAACUUGGAAACUUUUGACUUGGUUUGAGGAAGAUCAUCUGAUUUCCCAGGAUAGUUUCUGAAAUGAGCAAGGAAGUAAAAGUUCAUAUGAAUGGAUUAGGACAGGUUAAGUUUACUCACAUCUUUCUCAUGGCACACCUGUUUUGACAUGCAGCCAAAGUGCAAAAAUCUAAGAAUAGUGGUCAUGUAGCAUCUAAGGACCAGAAAGUCAGGACAUUCAGGAUUGCUUAUAUAAAUAGUGAUGCUCGGAAUUGGUUGAUGGGAAUGACCGGUAGAUUAAAAACUGAAUCUGCCUAUCAACCUACCUACAUAUGUACAUAUAAACAAUCUUUGGCUCAGACCUUAAUAAAUAUGGACCACAAUUAAAAAUAAAAUUGAAAUUAGAGGAGGAUGUACUAUAAUUAGAGAAAAAACUACUGCCCAUAAUCUCAGUACUUCCUGUCUCUUCCUUUAUUUUUUUAACUAAUAUAAUCAG